UACGUAGGGUGCAAGCGUUGUCCGGAAUUAUUGGGCGUAAAGAGCUCGUAGGCGGCCACCGCAAGUCAGUUGUGAAAGCUCUGGGCUUAACCCAGAAAGGUCAGCUGAUACUGCGGGGCUAGAGUGCAGAAGGGGCAACUGGAAUUCUCGGUGUAGCGGUGAAAUGCGUAGAUAUCGAGAGGAACACCUGCGGCGAAGGCGGGUUGCUGGGCUGACACUGACGCUGACAGCGCGAAAGCUAGGGGAGCGAACGGG
rnacentral:rRNA from 1 species